UCUGCUGUGCGAGACGAAAAACCAAGGGGCAAGGAACUCGACCGGAAGUUGAAGUCGGGUGGGGGCUGCCAUCUUUUAGCAGAACUUCACUUGCGUUAGCAUUCCCAUUGACUCCCAUUCAUUUUGGCGUCACUUUGACAGCGAAUAACUUUACAUCUGAGGCGUUUAAAGACUCUGUUUGUCCAUUAUUUAUUUCUAAAGAUACACGACAAUGUAUAAAGGGCUCCAUUACCUUCUAUGUUACAUUAUGGCCCCGUAUAAACAGUUUUUGUAAAAAAUAGGCUAACGAUUGUGUCAUAACCACUCGGCGCUCUGUCGCAUUACCGUACAGACAGGAGGAGAAGCUCGCAGGCAAUUAACUUAAUAUGGCGUACUGGCGUUAUAUUUUAAAACACUAUACAAAAUAAUUAAUCAGAAUACUUACUCUUGCUCACUCACGACAAAGAACUCCCCGCUCAAGCUCGCCGUCUCUGCAAGAUUAACGAUGGCAGUUUGCACGCACAGCUACUAGAAGAUUUACAUCUGCAAGACAGGUUGCUGACGUCGUCAAGCUUCGUUUGAGUCUGCGCGUCAGAAACGGAAGUGCUAAAAAACGCUAAAACUGGGCUUCAUUUGUCUCAAUUGAGUUCCAAUGGGGUCGCUGUGUCCAUUUCUUUUACUGUCUAUGCGAAAAACGGACGCAGAGUUUGCCUGGUCUCAUUUAUUUCUCCUGUUUUCAGGUCAGCUGAAAUCUCAUCAUCUAAUUCCCUUUGAGAGAGAAAAAACAACAACAGAUUAAAUCGUUAUAGAAGCAACUUUCCAGUUCUGCAAGCAACUGAGUAAAGCGCUCAAACAAGAACAAACACUCACUCUGUCUGGGACUGCUUUUCAGUGAAGACUCGUAGGACAAAAUCAGCCUCUUUGCUGGGUUCAAAGGUGGAGGGGACGAUGAUGUAUUCACCGGGAGGCAGACGGAGACGAGUGCUGACCUCCCGCAGGUUGAUGAAGGUCUCAGAGCGGGCGCACGAUGAGUGUGUCAGGAAGAAGUCCUUUUUAAGGUGCACAUUCUGACAGCCUGCAUACUGCACAAAGAUGGAAAUGACAAAUCUGUGCAGUACACAAAAUUAUUCCACUGUGAAUAAUCAAGACGAAAUUCAUGGGUUCAUACCUCUUCAGGAAUCUGCAAGGAGGAGGAAAAGAAGGAAAACAAUUAGGCAUUUUUUUCCCUUUGGAACACAAAGUUAUCUGUUAACUUUUUUGCUUCCCACCUCGUAGAUAGCAAAGCCGAUGGUGUGCAUGUCCUGUCCGUGGCGCCGGUACCGUCUGCGGUCUUUCUGCAGUAAAGCCACCAGAAAGCUGCAGGCCACUUCUUCAUCCUCUGGGUCAUCAUCCUCCUCCAGCAGUGUGAUCUUGUACUGUGGAUUGAUCCAGAACGUGUCUGCCAAACAGCAGAGGAACACAAACCAGUUAUGGGUUCAAAUUCCAGAUGAAGCUGAUGGCGGAGUUUGAUUCAUGCAUUAUUAAUUGUUCAUCUUGUUCGUGAUAUGAUGCUUAAUGCACUUUUAUUCAAAUGUUUGUGGUCAGUAGGAUUUCUUUUUAAAAUAAAUUAAUACCUUUUAUUCAGCAAGCACACCAAAAGCUACAGUUAAGGUUUUUAUAAUGUUAAAAAAUAAUGAUAUUUCAAAUACACUCUGUUCUUUUGAAACUUCUAUUCACCAAGCAAUCUGUUUCCAACAUUUAUAAUGAAAACAAUUUGGCUCUUGAGCACCUAAUCAGAAUAUUAUGACUCCUGAAGGAUCAUGUGAUGCUGAGGACUGGAGUAAUGAUGCUGAAAAUUCAGCUUUACAUCACAGGAAUAAACUACAUUUUAGAAUACAUUUUAAAAAAGCAAAACAGCUAUUUUAAAUUUUAAUAUUUCACAAUAUUAUGCUGUGGUUGUUUUUUUUUUUACUGCAUUAAUGAUCAAAAAUAAUUGCAGCCUGUGUGAGGAUAAGAGACUUUUCCAAAGCAUUACAAAAUCUUACCGACCCCAAACUUUUGAAUGGUAGUGUAGAUCCAAAUAUUGUAAUUUUACAAGCAAAACAAUUCAUUGGCAAUCGCAAUUUUGAUCAUAUUGUUCUAAACCUAUGGCUAGUUGUAAAUCCCAUCAAUGUUUCCAGCUGUAGAGACGUCCAGUACGACCAAUAAUACAGCCACUAUUUGACCUCAGCUGAUAAAAUCGCUGGAUGUAAACGGGCGUUUCUCACUGGGAUGGUUUCGGCAGCCUCCUGCGGUACUGCCUCUCCGCCAGGCACCGUGAAACUUGAUGGUGUUCCAGUGGCUCAGGUCAUCAUCACUCAGAGCAUCAGGAGUCAGAUUACAAAUCUCCAGCCUGGAGAACUGCCGCAAAAACUCACUGAACGACAUCCUGGGGAAAAGGGAGCUGGUUUUUUUAUGCUGUGAGUGUACACAAUGCGUUUUUGGUCUUCUGAUGCGUCAAUUCACUCAAAAAUAAAAAUAGAUACAGAUGAGUUUCUUCAUCAAUACAGAUUUGGAGAAAUGUGAUAUUACAUCACUUGUCCACAAAUGGAUCCUCUGCAGUGAAUGGGUGUCAUCAGAAUGAGAGUCCACAUGUGAUGUAAUGUUAAAUUGAUACAAAUCUGUUCUGAUGUAGAAACAAACUCAUCUAUGUCUUGGAUUGCCUCAUUUUUGGGAUAACUAUUCCUUUAAUUUGUAUUGCUGAUACAGCUCACCAGAACUCUCCAUCCUCCAUUCGUAAGUGCAAGUCAUCCUUCUCAGAUGGAUCGAUUUCAUCCCAUUCAGGGGAGCUGGAGAGGAAACAUACACAAUCUUCUUACUCAAUGACUUGGGCUGAACUGAAUAACUGUUUCUGUGUCAUUACUUACUUGUCGCUCCAGGCCCCUGUCCAUUCAACCUGACCCCAUGGGUUACGGAUACGGAUAAGCCUCUCUGUACGACCCCUAAAUUCCACCUGUAAAAGAGAGAUCGCACACAUGAAGGCACCUAAAAUUAAACUCCUAAAUAAACUGUCUAUGAGCAACAUAUACUGGGAGCGUUACCUGUUUGAGAGCAGUCACCGAGUAAGCAUGACCUUUGACCAGCUUCUUAAAUGUCACAGAUUCCAUGUCAAAGGCACUGGUGAUCUGGUAUACAAUCAUAAAUAAUAUGAAUCAAUCGAACUUGGGUUCGGACCAGGCAAUCGAGCAAACCGAAGUGUGAAAGCACCCUAAAUCUAGAAUGAUGUAAAAAAAAAAAAAAAACAA